CAUUAUGGAAGUUCUAGAGUGAGAACAUUAUGGAAGUUCUAGAGUGAGAACAUUAUGGAAGUUCUAGUGAGAACAUUAUGGAAGUUCUAGAGUGAGAACAUUAUGGAAGUUCUCGAGUGAGAACAAUAAGAUAAUUCUAGAAAUCCUCUCCAUAAUCAAUCAAUCAAAUGUAUUUAUAAAGCCCAUUUUACAUCUGUAGAUGUCAAAAGUGAUAUAUGUAGAAAAUCAGCCUCAAACAGCAAGCAAUGCAGAUGUAGAAGAACGAUGGCUUGGAAAAACUCCCUGUUGACUGGAGACCUGCACUAAUCCGACAGAUGUGAUGGUACACCAAUGUUCCCUCCUGAAAUACAGGUGAAUUACAGGCGUUUUAUAUUUGAGGAAUGUAAUCUCAGUAGAACUAUUCUCUCUCUCUUUGUAAAGGGGGGUCAUGUGAUCGAUUCACUAUGCCGUUUCCUCGUACGCCUCAGGCCUAUUGGCUGUGUCAGUGUCUCACAUUGCUCUGGUCUAGUUUGUCAACGGUUAGAGCUCUUGUGUUUUCCAGGAUAAGAUAUGCAAUUUGAACUGUUCACGCAGCGUUGUCGUCUAGGUAGACCGUAGAGGAGGGGACCACACCAGUUGUCGUCUAGGUAGACCGUAGAGGAGGGGACCACACCAGUUGUCGUCUAGGUAGACCGUAGAGGAGGGGACCACACCAGUUGUCGUCUAGGUAGACCGUAGAGGAGGGGACCACACCAGUUGUCGUCUAGGUAGACCGUAGAGGAGGGGACCACACCAGUUGUCGUCUAGGUAGACCGUAGAGGAGGGGACCACACCAGUGGCUGUUCCUGUAUGUACGUUUAAAAAUGUCAUAUGUUGGCACUAUUGUCGCAACGUAGUGGGCUGCACCCGCAGUAAUGUAUUUAGUUAUAGUUUACCCUGGUUUUGUUCUAUGAGCAGAUUCUGUCGUAGUUAAAUAUAUAAGUUGGUAAAUUGCUUGGAGUGUUUACACAGUGUUUAGAUGGUGAAAUAACACAUGCCAUUAGCAGACGCUUUUAUCCAAAGCGACUUACAGUCACGUGUGCAUACAUUCUACGUAUGGGUGGUCCCGGGGAUCGAACCCACUACCCUGGCGUUACAAGCGCCAUGCUCUACCAACUGAGCUACAGAAGGACCACAAAUAGCAGUGAAAUAGCAGUGGGUUAAGCCUGAUAUCCUGUGCCUUGCAUCUACGUUAACAUGAAUGUGUUGCUGCGGUGCUGAAGGCUGUUUGACGUGUUCAAGGCUGCUGCUUUAAAAACCAACAGUUCUUUGGCUGAAAUCUAACAGUUUUAACUGAACAGCCUGUUUUCCUUAUCUCCUCUCCUUAUCUCCUCUCCUUAUCUCUCUCCUUCUCUCUCUCCUUAUCUCCUCUCCUUCUCUCCUCUGGCCCAGUUUAUUUUACUUUCAGUGUCCACAAAGGAAUUGAGGAAGGAUUUUUUUUUUUUUUUUUUACAGUAUUGAGUCACAGCCGUGAGCAUUGAGUUCACCCCUUAUUUUGGAGUUGUGUCCAGGGGUGUGUUCAUUAGGAACCAAAUGGAACAAAAUGGGGAAGCGGCCUACCUGAAUUUGUCCAAUAGAAACUCUCGUUUUCGUUGCAAAAUAUUUUCGUUUAAGAGUAAUAAGCGUCUCGAAACGGAAACCGUUUACUCAAAAAUUGAAAAUGUUGUGUGACUAAUGAAUACACCCCAGUCUUCUAUUUGUGUAGUCACGUGUUCAGAAAGCGUUGGAUCGAGGUUGUGUCAUAACUUGGUAACAUGGAGUCAUGAUGAGGGAAUAGAACUACGGGGGACCAACGAUUCGUUACGUUUUUGUACUGGUCACAUCACUGUUGUUAGUGUGUCACAGAUUUUCUCUACCUCCGUCUUUCAGUGAAGGGGGUUUGUUUUAUCUGGCCCGGGUUACCCCGGUGGGAGGAGUUUGAGCUGGGUGAAAAGUGAUUGUAUUCAUUUUGGAAUCGGGCUGCCUCCUGGGUGUGCCCCACUCUGGUCGCCGGUGAAGGUGGCUCAAAACAAAAACGACGUAAUUAAACGUGUGGAAAAAUGGGUAGGAUUCUGUUUUCACAUGCUAAAGUGAUUGCUUUUGAUUAUUAUGAUUUUCACUUUCUGCCUUCUCAAUAAAAACUAGUUUGACUAUUCAAACAUUUUAUUUUAUGGAAAAUAUAUGUAUGUUUCGUGACGAUGCACCAUGCUGCCUUGUUGACAUGACCGAGUGGCUCGGAGUACUGUUUGAUUUGAGAAAGGCGCUCCUGCAUCCCCGCUAUUUCACCCGAUGACGUGAUGGGCCAUUGCCCGGGUUCAACCUGGGCCAGUGUAAUAGAAUUCCCUUCGUGUCAUAGGAGUCGUCCCUGGUGAAAAUGUAAAUAUGAAUCUAGUUAAGUGUUGGACAGAUAUAUAUAUAUAUAUGGAGUGCUUGUGGGCGCAAACAUGACAACAUGAUGUGACUUAAGUAUUUAUUGGUAGAAAUAGGCUUGAGUUACAGCUGGGCUUUAAUAAGCACAGUUGUGAUUGGUGGACUUUCCAUGUGAAAAAUAAGGAGUAUUUCUACUUGUACCUGAUGUAUUGGAAAAGCUCAAUGUGGUCUUUGGGGGAAAAUAGCUGUUUUCAAAAUGGCCGCCCAGCAAAUGAUUGUGGCCAUGGUCAUGAAACGUCAGGAAAGCCAUGAACGAAGAGAAAUUAUGAUGCCACUUAUUUUCUCCGAUAAACCUGUAGAUAGUUGCAGAUUUUGUUGAUUAUUUUGAAAGGUAAUUAUCGGUUGUUUCAGACAACCUUUUUUUUUUCUCUCUCCUUUCUCUUUAGAAAAUAAGUUUCGUUCUGGUUUGCUCAAAACCUGGCCUCUCUUCAAUGUGUUUUCUAUAGACAUUUUUUUUUCUCCAAACAAUAGAAUGAUAUAAUUAGAUAUUUAUUUACAGUCUCAAAAGAACAAGGAAAAUUUAUGAAGGUAUUUUUACUUGAAUAAUGACACACUGUAUUGCUAUUUUAAGAUACACAUGUAUUUAUAUUUAUACUUAAGAUAACAUGGUAUUGGAUUUUCCUUAUGCUUUGGCCUAUACGUUACUUGCAAUAUUUAUGUCAUUGACGAUAAUGUCCCAGUAUCUCAGCUUUUGUAGUUAAUUCCAAUAUGAUGCUUUACGUAACAAACAUUCAAUAAAGUCUGGAUUAUA